GAAGGAGCCUGAGGCAAAAUGGAUUGGAUGGGCUGGUUUAUAUGUACCAGAUGAAAUGGAUAGCGAUCACUUACCAAAGCACUAGCAGAAAAGGAGCAUUUAUGGAGAUAUUUGACAAUUUAUAUGCGAAAUGCAGGUUGGCUUUGGUUUCUCUGUUCGAACCAGGCAAUGACUUUUGUUGUCACCUUUUCUAAUUUGGCAGCUACCUUAACUGUUGGCAUCUACCAGAAAAUCAUUGUUUACUUUUUAUCAUAGACUAGAAGAAAAGCUCUUGGAUAUGAUAAUAUGCUAUGCCAAUUUGCUGAUCCCAUGUUCUACACCCAUAUGGAUUAAAUCAACUGUUUGACAUUGAAAUAGACAAGGCACUAGCAUCUCAUUCUCAGUGACUCAACUUGUUGCAGGAGAUGUUUGCCGAUAUAGCUUUAGAGGUUGAUGUUCAAGCAAGGGGUAAGGAGCCAAUGCAUUCUCUACUUUUCUUUCUCUCUUGAGUGUGUAUGCUCAGUAGUUCUGUUUUGGCCAAAAGUUGUUGGCUAUGGCUCAUCUUCAAUUGGAGAUUUACUUAGUGUUUCUCUUCA